rnacentral:rRNA from 1 species
AGCAGCCGCGGUAAUUCCAGCUCCAAUAGCGUAUAUUAAAGUUGUUGCAGUUAAAAAGCUCGUAGUUGAAUUUCGGGAUUAGCAGGUUGGUCGUGCCUCUGGUACGUACUGGUCUUGUUGAUUCCUCCCUUUUGACGAGCCGUAAUGCCAUUAAUUUGGUGUUGCGGGGAAUCAGGACUGUUACUUUGAAAAAAUUAGAGUGUUUAAAGCAGGCUAACGCUUGAAUACAUUAGCAUGGAAUAAUGAAAUAGGACGUUCGAUCCUAUUUUGUUGGUUUCUAGGAUUGACGUAAUGAUUAAUAGGGAUAGUUGGGGGCAUUAGUAUUCAAUUGUCAGAGGUGAAAUUCUUGGAUUUAUUGAAGACUAACUACUGCGAAAGCAUUUGCCAAGGAUGUUUUCAUUAAUCAAGAACGAAAGUUAGGGGAUCGAAGACGAUCAGAUACCGUCGUAGUCUUAACCAUAAACUAUGCCGACUAGGGAUCGGAUGAUGUUAAUUUUUUAAUGACUCAUUCGGCGCCUUACG